UGGGGAAUUUUGGACAAUGGGCGCAAGCCUGAUCCAGCCAUUCCGCGUGAGUGAAGAAGGCCUUCGGGUUGUAAAGCUCUUUCGCAAGGGAAGAAAACUUACAUUCUAAUAAAGUGUGAGGCUGACGGUACCUUGAUAAGAAGCACCGGCUAACUACGUGCCAGCAGCCGCGGUAAUACGUAGGGUGCGAGCGUUAAUCGGAAUUACUGGGCGUAAAGCGUGCGCAGGCGGUUUGGCAAGUCAGAUGUGAAAUCCCCGAGCUCAACUUGGGAACUGCGUUUGAAACUGCCAGACUAGAAUAUGUCAGAGGGGGGUAGAAUUCCACGUGUAGCAGUGAAAUGCGUAGAGAUGUGGAGGAAUACCAAUGGCGAAGGCAGCCCCCUGGGCCUGCACUGACGCU
rnacentral:rRNA from 1 species